rnacentral:rRNA from 1 species
GAUGAACGCUGGCGGCGUGCCUAAUACAUGCAAGUCGAGCGAAGCGGGGACGGGUGAGUAACACGUGGAUAACCCCCUAUAAGACUGGGAUAACUUCGGGAAACCGGAGCUAAACCGGAAACUUAUAGAUGGAUCCGCGGUGCAUUAGCUAGUUGGUCAGGGAACGGCGUACCAGGGCAACGAUGCAUAGCCGACCUGAGAGGAUGAUCAGCCACACUGGAACUGAGACACGGCCCAGACUCCUACGGGAGGCAGCAGUGGGGAAUCUUCCGCAAUGGGCGAAAGCCGGAUGGAGCAACGCCGCGUGAAUGAUGAAGGUCUUCGGAUCGUAAAGCUCUGUUAUUGGGGAAGCGUUACCGAAUCAGGAAGCCACGGCUAACUACGUGCCAGCCGCCGCGGUAAUAC